rnacentral:rRNA from 1 species
AUACGGAGGGUGCAAGCGUUAAUCGGAAUUACUGGGCGUAAAGGGCGCGUAGGCGGUCUAUCAAGUCAGGUGUGAAAUCCCACGGCUCAACCGUGGAGGUGCAUCUGAAACUGAUAGACUUGAGUAUGGGAGAGGAAAGUAGAAUUCCCGGUGUAGAGGUGAAAUUCGUAGAUAUCGGGAGGAACACCAGUGGCGAAGGCGACUUUCUGGACCAAUACUGACGCUGAGGCGCGAAAGCGUGGGGAGCAAACAGGAUUAGAAACCCCAGUAGUCC